CACAUGGAACUGAAGACCCGGUCCAGACUCCUUACGGGAGGCAGCAGUGAGGAUCUUGCGCAUGGCGAAAGCUGACGCAGCGACGCGCGUGAGGAUGAGUCUCGGAUCGUAACUUCUGUUAGGAGGGAAGAAACGUGCAGAAUUACACCUCUGCAUAAUGACGGUACCUCCAGAGAAAGCACUGGCUAACUUCGUGCCAGCAGCCGCGGUAAUACGAAGGGUGCAAGCGUUAUUCGGAAUCAUUGGGCGUAAAGGGUGCGUAGGCGGCACGCUAAGUCAGCUGUCUAAUUUUCCGGCCUAACCGGAAGUCGGCGGCAGAUACUGGUGUGCUAGAGGAUGAAAGAGAGAGGUGGAAUUCUCGGAGUAGCGAUAAAAUGCGUAGAUCUCGAGAGGAACACCGAUGGCGAAAGCAGCCUCUUGGUUCACUCCUGACGCUCAGGCACGAAAGCGUGGGUAGCAAACAGGAUUAGAUACCCUGGUAGUCCACGCUGUAAACGUUGAUUACUAGACGUUGGUUUCGCAAGGAAUCAGUGUCGUAGCUAACGCGAUAAGUAAUCCGCCUGGGGAGUACGGUCGCAAGAUUAAAACUCAAAGAAAUUGACGGGGGUCCGCACAAGCGGUGGAACAUGUGGUUUAAUUCGAUGGUACGCGAGAAACCUUACCUGGGCUUGACAUGCACUUGAUCGCCAUAGAAAUAUGGCUUUUCGGAGCUUGCUCCGGACAGGUGCACAGGUGCUGCAUGGCUGUCGUCAGCUCGUGUCGUGAGAUGUUGGGUUAAGUCCUUUAACGAGCGCAACUCUUGCUAUCAGUUGCUAUCCUUCGGGAGCACUCUGAUGGGACUGCCUGGGAAACCAGGAGGAAGGAGAGAAUGACGUCAAGUCAUCAUGGCCCUUACGUCCGGGGCUGCACACGUGCUACAAUGGGCGCUACAAAGGGAAGCCACCUCGCGAGAGGGCGCAGAUCUUUAAAGGCGUCCCCAGUUCGGAUUGGAGUCUGCAACUCGACUCCAUGAAGAUGGAAUCGCUAGUAAUCGCGGAUCAGCAACGCCGCGGUGAAUACGUUCCCGGGCCUUGUACACACCGCCCGUCAAGCGAUGGAAGUCAGGAGUACCUGAUGUCG
rnacentral:rRNA from 1 species